rnacentral:rRNA from 1 species
UACGUAGGAUGCAAGCGUUGUCCGGAUUUACUGGGCGUAAAGGGCGCGUAGGCGGCGUGGUAAGUCACUUGUGAAAUCUCUGAGCUUAACUCAGAACGGCCAAGUGAUACUGCUGUGCUAGAGUGCAGAAGGGGCAAUCGGAAUUCUUGGUGUAGCGGUGAAAUGCGUAGAUAUCAAGAGGAACACCUGAGGUGAAGACGGGUUGCUGGGCUGACACUGACGCUGAGGCGCGAAAGCCAGGGGAGCAAACGGG